GAUGAACGCUGGCGGCGUGCCUAAUACAUGCAAGUCGAGCGAACAGACGAGGAGCUUGCUCCUCUGACGUUAGCGGCGGACGGGUGAGUAACACGUGGAUAACCUACCUAUAAGACUGGGAUAACUUCGGGAAACCGGAGCUAAUACCGGAUAAUAUAUUGAACCGCAUGGUUCAAUAGUGAAAGACGGUUUUGCUGUCACUUAUAGAUGGAUCCGCGACGCAUUAGCUAGUUGGUAAGGUAACGGCUUACCAAAGCAACGAUGCGUAGCCGACCUGAGAGCGUGAUCGGCAACACUGGAACUGAGACACGGUCCAGACUCCUACGGGAGGCAGCAGUAGGGAACCUUCCGCAAUGGGCGAAAGCCUGACGGAGCAACGCCGCGUGAGUGAUGAAGGUCUUCGGAUCGUAAAACUCUGUUAUUAGGGAAGAACAAAUGUGUAAGUAACUAUGCACGUCUUGACGGUACCUAAUCAGAAAGCCACGGCUAACUACGUG
rnacentral:rRNA from 1 species